GAGAAUGUCGGCUAUUCGGUUGA
rnacentral:siRNA from 1 species